CAUGUUCGUUGGAAAGCUAUCCUGAGCGGCUUCUAAAGAACUUAAGGUGGACACGCCAACUUGUGAUGUCACUCAAACACAGGAAGAGGCUGAUUCUGAAGCCAUUUUGCCACACAUGUCCCAGGUCCUGCCCCUCUCCUUCCACACGACCCCUCAGAGGCCUGGUUGAUGUCGUCUUUCUCUGACUUCUUUGACAUUAUGUUUCCUUUUUUGUAUGGACUUUGUAUACUCCCAGACCUUUGGAGGAUUCUUCCCUCCUACACACAGAGCGGUGUUGACUUUGCUUAUGAAUAAGUUCUGCUGUGGGCUGGAAAGGAGAAGAGGCCUUCUUAUUAUUAGGAGAAACUAGAUGUUGUAGUUUUCAAAUGCAAAAAGGGUUUGUGAAGCACUCAUAGCGAACUCAAAAAGCAGUUCUGCUUUUAACCUUAUACACAAAAGAGCAUGACCUUACUUAUUUUGCAUUUAAAUGAAUUGCCUUGAAAAUUAGCUCUUCCGUCCAAACGCAUUAAAUGCGGUCGAUGAAGGCUGGCCUCGAAGCCUCCGUAGAGGCGAUUAUCCGAUAAACCAGGAGAUAACAAAGCAACCAUGCAAAGGAUCUGUAAGGAUCGUGUCCGAUCUUCCUUCACACACUGAUGAAAGGCUGAAGAUGCUCCCCAUGCCCUACCAACGAUGGGGUUACAACGCCAGUGUGAGAGGGGAAGGCUGAGGAAUUAGAAGUGCGCUUUCUGCCCCUUAAUUAGGCUACCAUACGUUCCUCUAAAUUACUGCUUAAUAAAAGGUUUGCUGGACUUAUGUUUCAACCUUCUGCUCAUAAGCAUUUAACGAGGUCAUAAUAUUUAUAACCUCGUCGUGGCUACUUGGGCUGAUUGAUAAAACAUCAGUUUGGAUUAUGCACACUUAUCUUAAGAUGAUUUAAAUAGGCAUAAUGGAUGCAUUCAGCAUGGCUAAUAGCACAAUUAAUUAUAAUAGGAAACGCUUCAUUCCGACCCAAUCGGAAUGAAUAAUAUCGAUGGAGGCGAAUAAUCAAAUUCAUCACGCUGCAUAAGACGAGACGCAGUGAAGUUAAACACACGUUUAAACACAGCUUUAAACAUGGUUACUCCGUCGACACAAAGAAUGGAAAAGUGUUCCUCACCUAGUCUGUGUUCCAAUCCUCUUAAGUCUAGACGCGAACAGACGAGCGGUUCUCGCUGAACGAAAACCUUCCAAGUUCUCGCAUCAGGAACGGUGCGCACCGGCACGUCUGUUCACUCCAUCAGUGAUCAUGAAACCAGACAACACUUAAGCCCUGGGUAGAGAUGCUGUUUGUUCCGCCUCACUUCAGCAUCAGCAGCAUCAUCCCUGAACAGCCACCGGGAGCUGUGCGUAUACGCCAGACUAUCAACAGGUGCUGUUCUCCGUCCAGGUCCUCUGAAGGUACAGCCUACUUAUAAUACUGGUCAAUCGAGCUUCGGAAAAGCACAACUUAUGUCAAGGCAAUUACUCUGUGAUAUCUGGUGUCCCCGGUUGUCAAAGGCAUGGAUCGCUCUAUCCUAUAAAUUACCUUGUUUGGACAGGUUCCCUUUCUCC